CAGAAGCUGGUCAAUUCACCUGAUCAUCCCUUAUAUGAUCUUUAUUUCUUCAAUAAUGUUGCAUUGCAGAGGGAUUAGUCAGAACUGCAUUAGAUAAACCCAAACUUACAUGGUGAUAUUUCUGUAAAUACUUUUAAUGGCCAAAACAGAGCAUUCAUAAAACAAUCACAAAGAUUAAAAGAGUGUAUAAAUCUUACUAAUAAUAUCCACCAUUUAUUUUGUCGGUGGUGACCUAGUCACAUACCCUUACAUUCUCUAAAAAUUAAUUAAUUAUGAUUUUACCUACCUAGGGACCAGCAGGCCAUUAUGCCUAUUUAAAGGUCCUAUUGCACCUGGCAUCAUAUGCUAUUUGGAAAGUCUGACUAAAGCUGAACUGGUGCUUUGUGUCUUGGAAUCUUUGCUCAUGAUGUGAAAUAAAAACAUUUCAUUUUGAUCUUCCAGUUGCUGAAGAAAUAUUUUAAAAUUUGAAGUCCAAUUAGGAGUUUUGAGAGCAAUAUCGUGUUACCGCUUAUUUCAUAUAAGGACAACACCAUGGAGGCUCUACCUCCCACUUGUGCAUCUGUGCGAUAAUUCUAAAACAAAGCAUAGAUUCUUUUGAUAGACAGAAGCACCAGUUGGAAGUUAUAUUUGCUAUUACAAGUCUAAUGUAUAUCUUUCUAUUUCUUCUUUGGUGCCUUCUGAUGUCUGUUCUUCAAUUCUUUCACCUCUGCACUUCAACCUUUGACCUCACCUGCCUGAUCAGAUGGUGUUUCCUAAAAUCAAUCAUGGGUUUCUCUCUGCUGAUCAGCAGCUCAUUAAACGCCGCCUCAUUAAGGGUGAUCAAGGGCAAGUUGGACCUCCUGGACCUCCUGGACCCCCUGGACCAAGAGGACCCCCUGGAGAUACUGGUAAAGAUGGGCCACGAGGAAUGCCUGGGGUGCCGGGAGAACCUGGAAAACCAGGUGAACAAGGUUUGGUGGGACCUCAGGGACCUCCAGGACAAAAGGGCUCAUUUGGUGCACCUGGUAUCCCAGGAACAGAUGGACAACAGGGAGAACCUGGUGCAAUGGGAGAAAGAGGAGUCUCUGGACUUAAGGGUGAUCCUGGACAACGGGGAGAAAAGGGUGAUGCUGGAGAAAGUGGACCCAAAGGUCACUCUGGAGAAAAGGGUGAUCCUGGAUCUUCUGCUGCGGGAAUUAAGGGGGAACCUGGACAAUCGGGUAGACCAGGACAAAAGGGUGAACCUGGACUUCCUGGACUUCCUGGGUUACCUGGAAUUAAGGGUGAACCGGGUUUCCUAGGUCCACAGGGAGAACCUGGAUUGCCAGGAUUGCCAGGGACAAAGGGUGAAAGAGGAGAAGUAGGAGCUCCUGGGAAAGGUGAACGAGGUGAGCCUGGAGCUCCAGGGCUAAAGGGGAGGUCAGGUGAAUCUGGAACUAGAGGCCCUAAAGGGUCAAAGGGUGAUCCAGGAAAUAACGGUGAUUUGGGAGCAGUGGGACCAAGGGGUCCACCUGGAGAAAAAGGUGACCAAGGUGCCACAGAAAUUAUUGAUUUCAAUGGAAAUAUUCAUGAAGCUUUACAGAGGAUUACCACCUUAACUGUCACGGGUCCUCCAGGCCCACCUGGACUCCAAGGAUUGCAAGGAUCAAAGGGUGAACCUGGAUCACCAGGAUUAUCUGGUGCUGAUGGGGAGCAGGGACCCAAAGGUUCCAAGGGUGAUCUGGGUGACCCAGGAAUACCAGGAGAAAAAGGGGGUAUUGGACUUCCAGGUUUGCCAGGAUCCAAUGGAAUGAAAGGAGAAAAAGGAGAUGUUGGAUUACCAGGUUCUCAAGGUCCCUCUCUCAUAGGUCCUCCAGGUUCUCCUGGUCCACACGGUCCACCAGGACCUAUGGGACCUCAUGGACUCCCAGGGCCAAAGGGUGAACCAGGGUUAAAUGGUCUUAAAGGAUUGAAGGGUGAACCAGGUCACAAGGGUGACAGAGGGCCCCUUGGUCUCCCAGGAGCAUCUGGCUUAGAUGGAAAGCCAGGAGCCCGGGGUAUGGAUGGUCCCAUUGGUCCACAUGGUCCUGCAGGUCCAAAGGGAGACAGAGGUGAAAAAGGAAUUGCAGGAGAACCUGGGCCCAGAGGACCGUAUGGCUUGCCUGGCAAAGAUGGUGAACCUGGCCUUGAUGGAUUCCGUGGAAUUAAGGGGGAAAAAGGGGAGCCAGGCCAACCUGGUCUGGAUGGGCUGGAUGCCCCUUGCCAAUUGGUACAGUAUUGCUCUUUCCUUCCAACCCUGCAUGUGAUUCCUACAUUUCUAAUCAGCUGUUUCCAAUGUAAAGUUCACAUAACCAGACUUUGCAUUGUAUGUCCCCAUACAUGCAUGUGCAUGAUCAAAGUGGCCUGCCUUGGUGAUGAUAACAGUAUCCAGAGAUCACUCCACCUCUCAACAUCAGCAGUAUAAUAUUGGCAAGUCAUACUUACAUUGCACAAUGGUUCUGAAGUUAUUUUACUCCAACAUCUUCAGUCAAGUGCAAUUUUCUACUUAAGAUUGUUGUCUUUCUUCUCCUCCUUCCCAUCGCCAAUAAAACAUGUUCUGCCAUAUUUAAUAUUAAUGAAAUUGCCCUCUUUGUUGAUACAGAGUGGUUCCACAAUAUCCCAUGACUAAACUACUGAUAUCAUAUAUCUUGUUAAUACUUGCCCAGCCCCUAAGUGUGAAUUCCAUCUGACCUCACUCAUAAAUGGGUUUUAUGAUUUUGAAUCAAUUAUAUUUACAUGUUCUUUAUUUUUUAAAAAUGGCACUGGAGUAAUAAAGUAUAUGCUUCUAAUAGAAGAGAACCUCAGGUUUAAACUAUGGAGCCUUUGUGCUCCCUGAGUUUGGUUGUUUGCUUGCAGACAUUUCAUUAUCCAACUAGGUAACAUCACUGUACUAGUAAGUGUCAGGUUUGUGCUCAACUCCCACCAACAGUGAGAGGAUAAGCUGUUAGAUAUAAACCGGGAGGAAACCAUACACUUACUAUCACUGAUUAUGUAAUAAAAUGUGUGCAGGCAAACAACCAAGCUCACAACCCACCAAGGACUCUAAAGUAUAUAUGCCUAAGAAAAGAAGAGAAAAUCUCAUUCAAAGCACAUAAGUAUAUAACCAGUGAUACUUUUCUAGGUAUGGCUUCCCUGGGAAUACAUAUCUCUCAAACAAGUAAUCUAUCCUACAUGUCUAUUCCUAUUAACUUUUUGCAGGGAGGGCAUGAACAGUCAACCUAGGCAAGGAAAUCUUAAUGUCCACACAAGUCCUUUUGACAACCUCUGGGGUUUCUGUUUGUGAUAUUCUAUGUAUUUGCUUUGACUAUCAUCUGUUCUUAUUAAGCAAAUGAGGAAAUUGAAAACUUGAUUUGCUGUUUGCUUUUGGGCAAGUGUACAGAAGGAAGCUAAAAAAAAAGGGAGUGAACAAGUGGAAAGUAUGACCUGGAGCUAGCAUUAUCUCCAUGCUUGACCUUCUGCUUAUCCUAAUAGAUACCGGUAGAUGACAGGGAGACAGACCCACUGUGUGCUUAAGGAUGAAUACAAACAGUUCAAAAGGGGCCAGAUGGGUUACCAAUGCCUGGUUGCUGGCAAAAGUGAUGAAUCUAACUUUGCAAGCAUGAAGUUGUGUAUAUAAUACAUCACCUCCUGUAUUUAUAAUUGAAAAUGGAAGCAUUGGUUUUACAAGUUUGAAAUAUGUUUACAUAGCACUGCUUCUAUUUAUUUGUAGUAGUCAUGUGUACAUAUGGCUGCAAUCUGGCAAAUAUAAACUGUGCAAUAAAUGUACAGAAUCCAAAUAUUGUGUCUAUAGAGCUAAUCCCAAUAGAGUGAUCAUUCAUAGACAUUUAAAUUGUUUUUUUACAUAUUUUUACAUUACUUUUAUUUUUGGUUGCAUUCUUGUUUUAUUUGGCUUGUGGACAAGCAUGGAGAAGAAAUGCCCUGAAUUAGGUUACAUUAGUUUGUGACCACAUAUGAACUCAAUAACAGAUUGUCACUGGAAUAUAAUGACUCUGUUGCCAUAUUCACCCUCCUAAACUCUAUCAUUGCUCUAUUUCCCCAAAUUUGCUUGAGCAAAAGCAUGAUUUUUGUGCUAAAACAGCUUGUUGUGUUACAAUGGUGGUUUGCUGUCAUAUGCUACAAUGGUUGCUUGCUGCCAAUUUCACUUGACACAUUAAAUUGUUCUUUCUAUCAUCUCAAGGGAGUCACACCAUGGCUUAUUGCAAAAAAAUGAUACGAGGAGAUUAAGACAAAGCUCUUGAAUUUGGAGGGAACUUUGGUUCCUUCUGAUGGUGGAUGGCUUUCAGUCUUCUGGGUGAAACCAUCUUUGUGAAAAAGAAGAAGGAUGAUAUCUCUUCAUCAGCCUCUGUUUGCUUGCAUUGCUCACAGUCAAGAAGCAUGGAUUUCAACACAUGUUGGAUUAUUUUACCAAGAAUGAAAGAAGAUGAAGAUCAUGCUUUAUGAGUAAGAUGAUUGAGUUGCAGAGACAUCAAAUGGAUCAAUGAUAGGUCUUAGUAUCAACUGGUGGACAAUGUAAUCUUCAAAGACUGCUACAAUAUGUGUUUCACAUGUUGUAUUUUCAAGGUGAUAAGAAGAAGUGCUUUGACAAAAGUCACUAUAAAAUGCCUUCUUCUAAAAUAAUGAAAUGCAGUUGACUUUUCAUGGUUUACCAUUUGGAUUUUAGAAAUUCCUGGUCAAUGGCAUAUGCGUGUACGGGCUUGAAGAAUAUAUUUAAUUAUAAUUGAUCAAUGGUUAAAUGUACUAACCUCCUUUGCUUUCAUGCUUAUAGACAUUCAGGUUUUGAAGAACAUAUUUGUGUUUCAUUUUUUUAGCAUUUUUUUAGCUUCUCCAAAAGUAAAAGAUUUUUGUUGACCUAUUCAUUUUUUAAAAAUUAUUUCACGUCAUGACCCAAAUAAAAUGGAAUUGAUAGGAGCUACAGUAUAGGCUACCUUGUAUAUCAAAUAUAUUGCUAUUUUCAUCUUAUUCUUUUUUAAAAAAAUAUUUCAUUUCUAUGUUUUGAACCCUUCUAUUUAAUAUUUUUAUAUUUAAGCUUAUAUUCAAAUGUAUGCUUGUAGACAUUCUAAGAAGCUAAUUAAUAUUGCUAAUUAAUUUGCUGGGCAGUGGAAAAUAUGGUCAUUACAUUUGAUGAAUGUUCUGCAAUGUUUUAAAGGUCUGACCAAAUAAGAAAUUCCAUACACUUUCAAAAAAGUCAGUGGGAUAUUUUAAAAUUAGAUUAAUAAACAUCCAUUGUUGCAAAAUGUCAUUUUUAUCAGAUUGUAAAUGGAAUUAUAUUUAUCACCAUACCAAAUAUUAGUUAAAUUUCAGUACUACUUUAUACCCUUUAGUAUACCUCUUACUUCCUUUUUCAAUUUAAUUAUUUUGUUUACAGACCAUUUGUGCACCACCCAGAAUCCACUGGAGAUGGGUGACCAAUAAAUUUAAAUAAUAAUAAUAAUAAUUAAUAAAACAAUAUUGAUAAAAUUUCCUAUUGCUUUUUGGGGAACAUGAUCUUUUUCUCAAUAUUGAAGCUUUCAUGUUAACAUUUUAGCAAGUUUUUCAGUGUUUCAGUGAUAACCACUCAAUAGCAGAGGAGAAUAAUUUAGUGCUCAGGAAAUUCAGAGAAAUGAAUGCCUGCUUUUACUAAAUAUUUUCUUAUAGUUUUCUUAUAUUUUUAUUAAAAUUUGACCUAUCUGCAUGAAAAGGUAGAAUUAAAAUUUUUGAAAUGCAAAAACUAAGAGAAAUUAGUCUGUGUAUGCAUGUAUAAUUAUGUACACAUACAUAUAUACACAUAUUUUAAUAUAUAUUAACAGAUAUUUUCUCCCGUGUAAUUCAGAUAUUUGUUUGUAAGACAGAAAUCCUUUUCUCUUUUUGCAUAGAAUAUUUCCCUCCUCAAAAUCUCCCUAAGAGUCCUCCAAUUAUCCAGGAAAAAGGAGGAAGUCUGUGAAGCUAGUGGUAGUGAGAGAAACAAUUUUAUCCAUUUUUAUUUUUAGUUGAUGGAUAAUCUUGAAUUCCAUCCAUAGGCUUCCUGUAUAUUAAUCUUUGUCAGACAUGUAAGAUGAGGACCAUACAUGAAGUUCCAAUUAAACUGAUUUAUUACUACUCAUUCCUAUUGCACAGGAAUCUAUUCAAUUAAUGGUUAGCACUAUUUUGGCAUUAGAUAAGAGUCAACAGAAUUCAAGAGGGAUUGGACUUUGUGACUACUAGAAACUAUAGGCUGAUUCUUCUUUUGAAUCUGCUUCCUGCUUCUGCCAUUCCUUUUCCUAUGAUCUUUUAUGCAUUUCUCUGUAAUGUAAAUUAUUUAUUAUUCUAUCCUCUCAAAUCCUAAUCAUUUAAUUUUAGAUCUGGUCAGACAUUAUUCAUAUGUAAGCAUAAUGCCUGAACACUGGGCAUUAGAUUGUUUAUGAGAAUCAUUACAACCUGAAUGGCCCCUUAAAAAAUAAAUUUAUGUGUUCAGAUGUGCCAUUUACAAAGUAUUUUUAAAAAUUAUUUUUCCUCCAUUUCAUAAGAAUCUACAUAUAAAAUUAAAUACCUGGGACUAGGAGUGUUCCUUAUAGUCUUAUUAAACGUUACCUUUCUUUUUAUGUUUGUAAAGCUAGUAAUACUAGCUAUCUAUGAAUACAAGUUGAGAAAGCAGAAUAGUUGGGCUGCAUGGAAAUAUCAAAAAUGUGGAUUUACCCUAUAACUGGUAAGCAUGCUAAUAAAAAAUAAAAAAUGGCUGUUGAGACCCUUCACAAAUUAGGCCUAUGACAUGAUUUGUUUGCUAAUUUAUUUUUCAAUUUACAUUUAAAAGAGUUAAUGAUAGGAUAUCAAUCACUAAUUUUAAAGUGAAAUUAUACACUUAUAAAUGCUUAUCAAUCUGUGUGCAGGUUGAUGGAAAAGAAAUUCUGUCUGUGCAGAAAUUAACAAUAUUUGAACUGAGAAUAUGAGCAUAUAGCCAUAAAUUAACAGAAGCAGCAAUUUUUCUUAUAAUAGCUGUAAUUUUCCAGCUACAGCAAUCAUUGGAAAUGUUUGCUGAUUUAUUUUAUAUUUUUUAAAAAAAAACCACUUGCUGUUUCAGGCUAUUCAUUGAUUAAUUCUGAUUUAUAUUGUUAAAAAUAAGUUCAUUAUAUUGAUAUCAUUGUGAUAAAUCUACAUGAUAAUUUGAUUAGUUGGAUUUUGAAGAGCAGUAAAGGGAGAUAUCAAACUGGUGCCUGAAAUGAUUCCUAAAAAUGCCUGUUAAAAACAAAAAUGUGCUUAGUCUGGCUAUGUAGUUGUUUUCUGAAGACUUGUAGUGCCUUUAUGUUGAUAUUUAAUAAUUAGUUUGGUGCUAAAAUGUUUUCUAUUUUUCUUGCAAAGCUCCUCCAAAUUAGUCAUUUAUGCUAAUAUAUUACAGUUUAAAUUGCAUUUUUUUCUUUUAUUUUUAAACAUGCCCAUUUUUAUCGUACAAUGGUAAAGGUUUUUCGUUACCUAUUUUUGUUUUUAUUUCCAAUUUCUAAUUUUCUUAAUUACUUUAUCUUUGGAAGUUUUCUCUCUCGCCAAUAUUUAUCGGGUACUGUUUUUAAUAGGUACAAAGAAAUAACAUAUUUUUGAUGAAUCUUUCUGAAAUUCCAUAAGGUAUUUCAUUUCAUGUCCACAAAGCAAAGUAUCAUAUGUAGAAGAUGUAGUAGUAGGGAUAAAGUGUCAACUAUAGUUCAUACUAUCUAAUGUUUAAAUAUUUCCUUUCCUGAUUUUAUCUCAUUGCUAGUUUAGAAAAACAGACUAAUAUAUUGCUCUCCACUAUAUAAAUAAAAAGCAUAGCAAUAUCAAUAUCACUUAUCUAGUGCAGAGGUCCCCAACCUUUUGGGCACCAGGGACUGGUUCCGUGGAGAAAAGUUUUUCCACUGACCAGAGAGUGGGUGAGUUUGAGUUCUGCCUGCAUCCCACGGAUGGGGCUUUGCUUGUUUGUGCAGACCGGUUUGGUCCACAAACCAGGGGUUGGGGGGCCCUGAUCUAGUAUACCAAAAUCUCUCCCAGCAACUUGUUUAAUGUAUUCAGUUAAAUAGCAGGAUAAGAAGAAAACUAUAUGUAUAGUAGUGGACUUGCAGAAAUAUUCUCUUGUGAUGAGGUUAAUCACCUCAAGGAUACUUGGCCUAUGCUCUGAAGUGAUAGCAUGUACUCUGUUCUUUACUAUUUAUAAACUAUUAAAAAGAGAAGCACUGAAAAAGGUAACUAUUCCUGUUUACCUUUACAUGUGUCAUUAAAACUUGAAUAAUGUCCUCCCCAGACAGUAUUAAGUACAAUCCUGAAAAUCUGUUUGAAUGCCUCACUUUUGCUGAAAUAAAAAGUGCCAAAAUAUUAAGACACUUUAAGAAAUAGGCCAGAGACAAUCCAGGAAUCAAGUUGGACAUCCCUGAUGGCCAUUUGCAAUGCCUGGAUGGAAGCCUUGUUUUUAUAGGGUAUUGUUAGCCAUAAGAAUAUGUUAUUUGAUUUGUUUGUAUAAUAGAACUGUUUUGUAUCAUAAUUUUAAGUGGAAAUGGAAUAACAGACAUCUUCAGAAAUAUAAAGUUAAGAUUAGACAUUUUGUUUGCAAGCCUCCUAAUUAUCAUUAUUAUUUUAUUAUGUGAUUUUAGCUGCACAUCUGUAUCCUUUGUCUAUUAAUGAUUUAUAAUUUUCACACAAUAAGGUAUACUAUACCUUAGGAAAAAUAUAUUAUGAGAAGUUAGCAGGCUCUUUAUUCUGGAAUUUCAGCUAUUUAUAUUGCUAUUAAAUGCUGAAGUUUUUUUUUCCUUAUCCUUUUUUUCCCCUAUAUGGCAAUGUAGCAAAAAACCCAUCAAAACCUUUUGAAUUGUGGUGGGUUAAAACAACAACCACAGCUAGUAACUAAAUGAUUCAUUCAUAUUGAUUUGAAUGGUAAAGUACUAACUAAAUUUGAAAUGGUUUUCUCAGUCUAUCCAAAGGUGGCUAGAUAUAGAAAAAUGUUUUCUCAGUACAGCUCUCUGAACAUAAGACAAAACAAUUAACAAUGGAAAAGGACAGAAAAAUAUUCUUUAAAAAAUUACUAUUUGAAAGGCACCUUUCUUUUUCUUUAGAGAACAGGGGCCUUAUUCAGUCUUACUUUAUAUGUUUAAAUUAAAAUUUAGUAGUUUCCACAGUUGUAUUUAAUACUGGUGAUAUUUUAAAAGCAUUUCAUUUGCGGGUAAAUAUAUGUUUUUUUACAUAUUCUUUACGUUGUCUGAGCUUGUCCUGGGUGACUAUCUUGAACAAGUGAAAUGGAACAAAUGAGAAUUUUCUCUAAUGUUCAUACAUGUUGGGCUUGUUCAUUGUGGAUAUUAUGCCAUUGUACAUGUUGGGAAACUAUAAUAAUUUACAACCUGUUUUUAAAGGUGUAUGUAUCUGGUUUGGGGUUGGGUUGUUGUUUUUGUUUAUUUGUCUGCUUCUUUUGGAAAAUAUUGUAUUUUAUUUGAUUUUUUUUUUACUUUUUUAUAAUGUAUCUGUAUGUGCAGGUAUUUCCAUAUUUCAUCAUGAUAUCUGUUAAAAGCAGAAAUCUGUCAUUUGCGGAAAAUUAUUCCUGCUUGGAAGAAAUCAUUAAUAAUGUAAGCCAUUUUCAUAUCACAUUCUAGGUAUAAAUAUCAUGGUAAAAACAAUAUGUCUAUGUAAAUAGUUGCAAGAUUUAAGCCACCAUUUUUAUUUGAUAUUAAUUUCUAUAUUGUUGUAGCCUCUUGUUAAGAAUUAAAGCAAGAAUGAGCUUUAUCAAAUAGGAUGAAUCAUUUUCUUUAAAAAAAAAUUGGGUUCUUUUUAUGCUUAUAAAUGUUUUAAUUGCUCCUGUUUUAGUUUUGUAUUUGGUUUUUGUCCCAACUUUGUGAGAAGUUGAACUUCAGAAUUAUUUUUACACUAUUUAUGACUUAUUUUCAUAAUGUAAAAAGUGUGUAAUUAUUAAACUCUUGAUCUUAAUCUGAGAUUGGUUUUCCAUGUUGUAAACAUUAUUUGCUUGCCUUUGGUGUAAAAAUAUGCAAUACUUAAAAAAAAGAGUUUUCCUAAACUAUAUUUCCUGUGAAAUGUAUUAAUCUGAAAAGUUUUUGACUUAAAACCAGUUAUGUUUCAAAA